GUACCCCAAAGUCAGGGAUAACCCGGCGAAAGUCGGAGUAAUACCUGAUAGUCUCUUCGGAGUAAAGAUUAUCGCUUUGGGAACGGCCUGCGUNCUAUCAGCUUGAUGGUGAGGUAACGGCUCACCAUGGCUACGACGGAUAGGGGAGGUGAGAGCCUGACCCCCACCGAUGGAACUGAGACACGGUCCAUACUCCUACGGGAGGCCGCAGUCGAGAAUCUUCCGCAAUGGACGAAAGUCUGACGGAGCGACGCCGCGUGGUUGAUGAAGUCCUUCGGGACGUAAAGACCUUUUAUGAGGGAGGAAGUUUAUUGACGUUACCUCAUGAAUAAGGGGCUCCCAAUUCUGUGCCAGCAGGAGCGGUAAUACAGAAGCCCCGAGCGUUACCCGGAUUCACUGGGCGUAAAGGGUGCGUAGGCAGAUAUGUUAGUCAGGUGUUAAAUCCUGGGGCUCAACCUCAGGCUCGCAUUUGAAACGGCAUAUCUAGAAGGCGUUAGAGGUGAGCAGAACUCACGGUGUAGGGGUGAAAUCCGUUGAUAUCGUGGGGAAUACCAAAUGCGAAGGCAGCUCACUGGGACGUUCUUGACGCUGAGGCACGAAAGCAUGGGUAGCGAACGGGAUUAGAUACCCCGGUAGUCCAUGCCCUAAACGCUGUCUGCUAGUCAUAGGGAGAAUCGACCCUUUCUGUGACGUAGGUAACCCGUUAAGCAGACCGCCUGGGUAGUACGAGCGCAAGCUUAAAACUCAAAGGAAUAGACGGGGGCUCGCACAAGCGGUGGAGCGCGUGGCUUAAUUCGUCGCUAAGCGAAAAACCUUACCAAGGCUAGAUAUCCUACUGCACGACCGGGGAAACUCGGUAAGCUUUCGAAGGUGUAGGACAGGUGAUGCAUGGCCGUCGUCAGUUCGUGGCUUGAGCUGUUCCCUUAAGUGGGGAAACGAACGCAACCCUCGUUGCCUGUUACAAGUGUCAGGCGAGACUGCUCCCUCACGGGAGAGGAAGGUGAGGAUGACGCCAGGUCAGCAUGUCCCUUGAUGCCUUGGGCUGCACACACGCUACAAUGGAACGCACAACGGGACGCCAUACCGUAAGGUGGAGCAAAUCCUAAUAAAACGUUCCUCAGUUCGGAUUGUGGGCUGCAACUCGCCCACAUGAAGUCGGAAUCGCUAGUAAUCGCGGAUCAGCACGCCGCGGUGAAUACGUCCCCGAGCCUUGUACUCACCGCCCGUCAAGUCAGGGGAGUCGGGAGUGCCCAGAAGUACUGCCUCGAGCAGUCCUACGGUA
rnacentral:rRNA from 1 species